AUGCAGCUGCUGGAGAGUGGCCUGAAGGUGAAGGAGUACGAGCUGCUCAGGAGGAACUUCAGCGACACCGGAUGCUUUGGCUUCAGUAUCCAGAGCACAUCGAUCUCGGUGUGA
rnacentral:rRNA from 1 species